rnacentral:misc_RNA from 1 species
AAGUCGUAACAAGGUAACCGUAGGUGAACCUGCGGUUGGAUCAUUAACAAAUCCAAUUAAUACAAACACAUUUGUGAAAACUUGUAUAUUGUACCUUUGGUCAUUUUGGCAUUUUGCCAAUUGGCCAGACAAGUCUUUAGACUCUGUUUAUUUUUAGUUGUGUAAUUUAAUUAUUUAAAUAAUAAUAAAAACAACUUUUGACAACGGAUCUCUAGGCUCUC